GGCUGGUCUUGAACUCAGAGCUCUACCUACCUCUGCCUGCAGUACUGGGAGUGCUGCUGCAGCCUGGCUGGUAAAAGAAAAACACAUUUUUUUUUUCAGCACUACAGACACAACACACUGAAGAACUCUGCGCAUGCUACCUUUGUCUCCAUGGAAGUUUUAUUAUCACUUGGAGCUCCACCCACCCGUCCCAUUGGCUAGUGCAUUGAUGGACAGGUCCCCAGGGCCAGAUGAACUACAGGGAGGGACUCUUCCUGAGGAUUUUCCUAAAAGACACCCAAGCAGAAGAGAGCUUCUCUGUCUCGGGAGAUGGAGUGACUUCACAGAAUA
rnacentral:lncRNA from 1 species